UACAGAGGUCUCAAGCGUUGUUCGGAUUCAUUGGGCGUAAAGGGUGCGUAGGCGGCGCGGUAAGUCGGGUGUGAAAUCUCGGAGCUUAACUCCGAAACUGCAUUCGAUACUGACCGUGCUUGAGGGACUGGGAGAGGAGACGUGGAAAUUUACGGUGUAGCGGUGGAAAUGCGUAGAUAUCGUAAGGAAGACCAGUGGCGAAGGCGG
rnacentral:rRNA from 1 species